rnacentral:lncRNA from 1 species
AUAUCUUCCCCUUUCUAACAUACAAGAAGAACAAAGUUGUGCAAAAAUCUGAGAUAGUCUACAGAGACUUGAUCAAGAUGACAUAGUAUGAAUUUGUACUUGAUGACAUAGGAAAGCAACCCAAGAGUGAUUAAUAGAUACUGGAACAGACACUCAAACAGACUUAUCUAGUGAUAAAUGAUGGUGUAUGCUGUCUCUUACCUGGAAAGAAGAUUCUUGUUCUAAGUUCAGUAUUUAGUUCUCACUUUUGCUCUCUGGGGUUUGAUUUUCAGUUCUAUUCUGCGGGAAGUCAUCAGCCCAUUGCUGGCUAUGUAUCUAUCUAGCCAAUCAGGUGUAACUUUUGUUCUUCUUCUUUUUUUUAUUUCUUUUUUUUUUUCCUUCUUUUUUUUUUCUUCUUUUUUUUUCAGCUCAGGAGAUGUGGCUUCACAUGGCUUCAUUUAAAACGUGCCUUCCUUAGUGGAUAAAGGUAUUAAAAUAACCUUGAAAUCAUGUUGCAAAGCUGACGUGCUAGAGUGGAAUGGUACUGAUAGAAUUUGCCUUCCAAAACUACAGAGGCAGUUUCAUUCUUCAGACAAGAAAACAUCCUAGAAUUGUUGCAGUGGUAUAAAUGUAAAGCUCUGUAAAUUAGCUGUAUUUCAGGUCUAUACUUUGGCAUCUACUGACUUCUUCUGGCUAGAAAGAAAAAUGCUGAAAGAUAAAGUGGAGACCAAAGAAGACACAGCAAAGGUAGUAACUUUACAAUAUCUUAUGAUACUGAAGGGGGAGAGGAGAAGGACAGACACCAGGAGAUAUGCAGCUGCAGGUAAAUCGUGGAAGGCGCUGUUCGCUGUCGGAGAAGUGCGAUCCGUUCGUGGAGGAGCCGACGGGUCUGCGCGUGCAGCAACAUGGCAGGACCCGCCCAAUCCACUAAGUACCGUCCGCGGCGGCGGAAGCAGGUGAAGCGGCUGAAGCGGGCGGAGAGCGGCUUCCCCCAGCACGGCCCGGCCGAGGCGGCGCCGCCCGCGCUGGUCCCCGACGGAGGCGGAGGCGUCGGCGGCGUCGGUCCGUGCGCCGAGAGCCUGGCGCUGCCCUACGCGGAGCGCGGCUACGCGGCGGGGCCGGCGCGUUACCGGGACUGCCGAGCGUAGGCGCGUCGCUUCGCGCUUCGGGCUGCCCACGCCGGACCCGUCCCCGCUGGACGCGGCGCACGGCGAGGUGCCUUUCUUCGCGCCGGGGCCGCUGGACGAGUGCGCGCCGGGGCCCUACGGCGGCUACGG